CUCUUCUGUACCCCAGCUUUUCUUUCCAUUUGCUUGACAGGAGGCACCCCAAUAUUCUUUGCUGUGUGGAGUUCAGGACAGCUGCUGCCACGGGGAUAUAUUGAAGAAUGAUGACUGGUGCAUCAUUUGAUGUCACUGGCUAAGCCUGGCCUGACCCUGUCAAACCGCCAGGGUCACUUUGUUUGCUUGAAGAACCAGUUUCCUCACAAAUAAAAAAAAACCAACCCACAAA